rnacentral:rRNA from 1 species
AGUCUGCAACCCGACUACAUGAAGCUGGAAUCGCUAGUAAUCGCGAAUCAGAAUGUCGCGGUGAAUACGUUCCCGGGUCUUGUACACACCGCCCGUCACACCAUGGGAGUCGGAAAUGCCCGAAGCCUGUGACCCAACCGAGAGGAGGGAGCAGUCGAAGGUGGAGCCGGUGACUGGGGUGAAGUCGUAACAAGGUAGC